rnacentral:lncRNA from 1 species
ACCCACAGAGGUCGACUCAUGGGUCGACUCACAGGUUGUGCCAAAUUUGUGCCGGCCAAGAAUUCAACGUGCCAAUCAUCUCAUGUGCCAUGAGUUGACUCAUGGGUCGACUCAUAUUUUUCAAACAUGAAUAUCUUUCAAAAAACAAGUCCAAAAGUAAUAAAUUUUUUACCAAUGGAUCACAAAUCUUUUGUUCUAUCACUUUAUGCUUUCAAAUCAAGGUUUGCUAAAAUUAUGAUUUUGCCCCUGA